GGCGGCGUGCCUAAUACAUGCAAGUCGAGCGAAGUUUUUCUGGUGCUUGCACUAGAAAAACUUAGCGGCGAACGGGUGAGUAACACGUAAAGAACCUGCCUCAUAGACUGGGACAACUAUUGGAAACGAUAGCUAAUACCGGAUAACAGUAUUUCUCGCAUGGGAGAUAUUUAAAAGUUGGUUAUGCUAACACUAUGAGAUGGCUUUGCGGUGCAUUAGCUAGUUGGUGGGGUAAAGGCCCACCAAGGCGACGAUGCAUAGCCGACCUGAGAGGGUGAUCGGCCACACUGGGACUGAGACACGGCCCAGACUCCUACGGGAGGCAGCAGUAGGGAAUCUUCCGCAAUGGGCGAAAGCCUGACGGAGCAACGCCGCGUGAGUGAAGAAGGAUUUCGGUUCGUAAAGCUCUGUUGUUAGGGAAGAAUGGAUAUGUAGUAACUAUACAUAUAAGAGACG
rnacentral:rRNA from 1 species